rnacentral:rRNA from 1 species
GAACGUUAAAACUGGAUAGGAUAAUAGAACUAAUGUUUUAUUAUUUAAAAGAGCAAUCUACUUAAGGAGGAGCCUGCGGCGCAUUAGCUAGUUGGUGAGGUAAUGGCCCACCAAGGCGAUGAUGCGUAGCCGGUCUGAGAGGACGAACGGCCACAUUGGGACUGAGACACGGCCCAGACUCCUACGGGAGGCAGCAGUAGGGAAUUUUCGGCAAUGGACGGAAGUCUGACCGAGCAACGCCGCGUGAAUGAUGAAGUAUUUCGGUAUGUAAAGUUCUUUUAUUUGGGAAGAAAAAACAAAUUGACGGUACCAAAUGAAUAAGCCCCGGCUAACUACGUGCCAGCAGCCGCGGUAAUACGUAGGGGGCAAGCGUUAUCCGGAAUUAUUGGGCGUAAAGGGUGCGUAG